CGGGCAGUCAGGUCCGAAUUCCAGCUGAGUCUGACAAGCGAGACUGUCCACAACUGAAAUAAAUGCUUAUUCUCAUUCUCCCUUUUCAAAAAAUUUUGGGCCACACCCACCACAUGCAGCAAUCUCAGGGCAGGCAUCAAACCUGAGCCACAGCAGUGAUGAUGCCAGAUCCUUCACUGCCAGGCCGCCAGGGGACUCCCCUUUUCCAAUUACUACCAAUUUAGAAAGCAGUUAAUACACUGCCUGGCUCACAGUUGUUGCCUGAAUGUAGUUGAAUCCACUUAUUCAUUCGACUGGUACUGAUUAAGCUGGAUUACGGACAAGCGAUGUCCAGCUGCCGACGACAAGCCAGGCCAUGGGUUAACCGGGCCAGCAGUCACAGUGACUGCCCAGGGCAGCAGUACCAGACCAACCCCCUUUGGACAGAGACCUUUUGGUGGCUCCCAAGCAGGAGGGCAGGAAGCGGCCUGCUUCUCCUGACCACCCUCUGUUCUCUGUAUCUCUGAGCUUGGCUUUUUGUUCUGUUCUGUUUUUAGAUCCCACAAGUACGUGAGAUCACACAGGGUUUGUCUUUCUCUGACUUCUGCCCUCAAGGUCCACCGCAGAGCUGGUCCUGAGCAGAGUGACGAGGGGGCAGCCCGGUUUCACCUGGCUGGAGAGAGGGGACUCCCAGGAAUUGACCCUGAGCCUGGGGACCACUGCACCACGCGUCCCUUUCCUCUGCUGGAACCAUAAGGCAGCGCUGAGCAGAACAACGACUGGUCCAGAGGACGGGAAGUGACCAGAGCUGGCGACACGGACACAGCCCAGCCAUGCUUGCCUGCAGGGUUGACCUUGAGUGAUGUUCCGCUUUCUUCCUCGUUCUCUUCUGUUUUUCCGUAGUAAAUGCAUGUGCUUCCUCUUCAGGGGAAGGAAAUACUGCAAAAAAAAAGAAGCAUCUCAGAUGUGGGAUCUUUAAGACGUGUGUUCUGCCUGUUGAGCAGGUGCUUGGGGUUUGCUGGACCGAUGAAGUGUGGUCAGUUUCUGCAAGGGUCUGGACUUGUUUCCCGCAGCCCUGGCAGUGGCCGUGUGGUGGCUGAGCAGACAGAACCAACGCCCGUGGGUGUUUGGCCAGCUGGCCCUGGCCUCCCACUAGGCCGUCAAAGACGCCUUCUGGAACUGCCGGCCACCUUGGCCCACUCGUUAUCCAGCAGGAUAAUAAAUGCAGACAGCAGAGCAAGGCCAGAGUCAGGCCGCUGCUGCUCUUCAGUGAGAUCAGUGCUGCCCGGCAGGGGCCGCUAGCAAUGUUCUGACAAGUCCUGCAAACUCUGCCAAGACAGCAGGAGCCCAGGCCUCACGGAUCUCCAGGUGGAAAUCUGAAGCUGUGGGUAGAGGGGGUCCUGCUGUGGUGGGGGGGGAGCCACCUGCUCCUGGGGCACCCACAGCCCAGCCCCCCCAAAGGAAGAGGCUCUGAGAAGGCCCUUCUGCCUCCUGCCUUCCUUCCUCCUUCCACCUGGCUGCCCCCAUGCCUGGCCGUAGGCGCAGGGCCAGGGGCUGGCACACCACACCCACCAAUAGGCUUGGCAUGCAAAGCAGAUUCCUUACCUAAAACAAACCAACACUCACACCUUUAUAUCCAAACUCCAUUCAAUCCGACUACCUUUUUCCAUAUUGUCUUGUUGGCAAUUGUGUCUUUUUUUUUUUUUGGUCUAUUAAAACCAUCAUUUUUUCCUCACUCUCUAAGCUAAAUCAUUAUUUCAGUUCCUAACGUUUGCAAAUACUCUGCUUCCUGUACAAUAGGGAUCAUUGUGUGUCCUCAGCAGCAGCCUGGCAGAAACACGGAACCACACGCCUGUGUCAGCUUAGUGACUCAGCAAACGGAGAGGCUCUGCUUCCACCGGGGCCCCUCCAGCCGGCCCAUGGGUUGGGUGGUGCUUCCUGGCCCUGCGGCUGUACCCUGACCCUGUUGGGUGCCAUGGCCGCUGGUAGGGGUGGGCAGCCCGCUCUGACCUCAGACCCCAUCCAGAAGCGCCUGCUGCCAUGCAGCAUGGGAAGCCCCCCGCCCCUCGCCCUGUACUUGGUUAGAGAAAGAUCUGGAAGAUACGCAACUGGAAAACAAGGUGUCGCUGGUGGUGAGGAGUUGCUGGCAGGCGAGUACCAUGCCCAAGGCGGGGAGGAAGAGCGUCUAGACUGAAAGUAAACGCACUACCUAAAAGGCGAGAAUGAGUCGUAGCUGAUGGACAAAACUGAGGCCAAGCCCAGGACACAGCCUCUCAGGGGCCCUUAGGGAGGCUCCAAAGAG
rnacentral:lncRNA from 1 species